AGUGCUUUUCCGGUUGAUCCUGCCGGAGGUCACUGCUAUCGGGGUUCGAUUAAGCCAUGCGAGUUGAGAGGGUUUAGACCCUCGGCGGACUGCUCAGUAACACGUGGAUAACCUGCCCUAAGGUGGAGGAUAACCCCGGGAAACUGGGGAUAAUACUCCAUAGAUCAGAGUAACUGGAAUGUUUUCUGGUCGAAAGUUCCGGCGCCUUAGGAUGGAUCUGCGGCCGAUUAGGUAGUUGUUGGGGUAACGGCCCAACAAGCCAGUCAUCGGUACGGGUUGUGGGAGCAAGAGCCCGGAGAUGGAAUCUGAGACACGAUUCCAGGCCCUACGGGGCGCAGCAGGCGCGAAAACUUUACAAUGCAGGAAACUGUGAUAAGGGAACCCCGAGUGCUCGUACACGCGAGCUGUCCAGGUGUGUAAAAAGCAUCUGAAGAAAGGGCCGGGCAAGACCGGUGCCAGCCGCCGCGGUAAUACCGGCGGCUCGAGUGGUGGCCACUAUUAUUGGGCUUAAAGCGUUCGUAGCUGGACUCUUAAGUCUCCUGGGAAAUCCGCCGGCUCAACCGGCGGGCGUCCAGGAGAUACUGGGAGUCUUGGAACCGGAAGAGGUAAGAGGUACUUCGGGGGUAGGAGUGAAAUCCUGUAAUCCUCGAGGG
rnacentral:rRNA from 1 species